AUACGGAGGGUGCGAGCGUUACUCGGAAUCACUGGGCGUAAAGCGCGCGCAGGCGGUCUUUUAAGUUGGAUGUGAAAGUCUACGGCUCAACCGUAGAACUGCAUCCAAAACUAUUUAGCUAGAGUGUGGGAGAGGAAGAUGGAAUUAGUUGUGUAGGGGUAAAAUCCGUAGAGAUAACUAGGAAUACCAAAAGCGAAGGCAAUCUUCUGGAACACUACUGACGCUGAGGCGCGAAGGCGUGGGGAGCAAACAGGAUUAGAAACCCCAGUAGUCC
rnacentral:rRNA from 1 species